CAGAACCUGUACUUUUAGAAGAAACCUUUCUUCUUCUGCCACAGUGUACCACUUGUCAGCCAACAUGAGAGGGAAGAAGCACUGCCUUCUUGUCGGCCAUUUUCGAAAAUGGACCUUUCCAGUGCCUUAUGUCCUAUUGGCUUGAGUCCUACAGCACUUUCUGUGGUGAUGGACCUCUGUCCCUGCAAGCAAUUCUGGUAAAAUCGACAGAUACAAUUGUGAAGGGAAGUCUGCUGCUGCUGUUACUCAAAACUCUCAUCUGGUUUUCCUGGGGAAGUUUGGAUGCAGGGGUUGGUUUGGCGAGGAGAAUCGCUUCACCCUUCACUGGAGCACAGCCACCUGGGGAGCUGCAGGGAGAAACUUCUUUGGAAACCCACGGGGCUUUCUAA
rnacentral:lncRNA from 1 species